AGGUUCUCCCUGAUUGUCAGAAUCGGUUACCCUCGCUGGUCUGAGAUGGGGAAGGUGGAGAAGGACCCAGACACCCACCCGGGGGAACUCAGGCCCAGCGCUCGCCCAGGUCUGCCUUCAGCCUGGAUCUGGAGGGUUUCGGGUUGCUCCUCCCCGCCCGCCCGCCCGCAUGGUUUUGGUUGGUUGGAUGGCUGAAUGAAACACAACCUUGCCUGCAGACAUCAAAGCCUGUCUCCAGCCGUAGCAGGCUCUGCCUCCAGCCUUUCGUCUCUCCGGUAUGUUCCAAUUUCGCUGAGGCUGCCUUGCAUGAUAAUGAGGCCUAAUUAACGCUUUAUCCCUUGAUUGAGGUGCUGAGUUUUUGAGACAGAGGAGUUCUCGGCUGGGCUCCCCUCGCCCUUCCUCCGAUCCUUUCAGCACACCCCUUGCCUGAGAUUCAGCCUGACAUCUUUAGCCUAUAGGUCUCACAUUCCGGCCACAACUGCGAGAGCACUUCACACACGGGAUGCUCCGAAUACCACGGGCCUUUAAAGGGAUUUAUUACUAGGUUAAAGAGUAAAACAAAGGACAGGAGUCGAUUAUCCUCAUUCCCCGUUAGUGUCGUUAGCUUCGUCAGUGUCUUAUUCUCAUUGAUGCAUAUUCCAGGUCUGGCCCCUUGAAUUCUUCUUGGAAUUCCACAAGACUUCUUGGGCAAUAUAAGGAGGACAGUUGAAUGCAGGACCUUUUGUACUAACACGGGCCUACAUUUUUAUCUUGGUAUUUUGGUCAAAUGCUGAGGGAUUGAGCAAGAAGUUAAUUAUCCUGAAUAGAAAAACAAAAACAGUAUGGAUUAGUAAUCUAUUACAUAGACUCCCUAAUAUCAGGACAGGGGAGCCAGCCCGCCUUGAAACAGGAAAUCCUGCUUCACACAAAGCCGGAAAUACCAGGAACUGAUUAUUCUGAGCCGGUACAGAUUCAAAACAGCUUUUUUGGCCCUCCUGGAAGGAUGGCUGAGGUAGUUAAUCACCCUUGGAGAAAAGGAAUUCUUGGAGGGAGGAGGGGCCCGCUUCCUAACCUUUGAGGGCUGAGGUCAAAGGAUGUCCCAGCUCUCCAUUUGCUCCCAUGUGACAGAACAUCAGAGGGUCCAGAAGAGCUGGGCACGUGCAGUCAUUGAUAAUUUCCAGGUAGCUGAAACCCAAGAAAUUUAUCAAAGGAAAAAAUGAAAA
rnacentral:lncRNA from 1 species